rnacentral:rRNA from 1 species
UGGGGAAUAUUGGACAAUGGGCGCAAGCCUGAUCCAGCAAUGCCGCGUGAGUGAUGAAGGCCUUAGGGUUGUAAAGCUCUUUUACCCGGGAUGAUAAUGACAGUACCGGGAGAAUAAGCCCCGGCUAACUCCGUGCCAGCAGCCGCGGUAAUACGGAGGGGGCUAGCGUUGUUCGGAAAUACUGGGCGUAAAGCGUACGUAGGCGGCUUGGCAAGUCAGGGGUGAAAUCCCGGAGCUCAACUCCGGAACUGCCCUUGAAACUGCCUGGCUAGAAUCUUGGAGAGGUCAGUGGAAUUCCGAGUGUAGAGGUGAAAUUCGUAGAUAUUCGGAAGAACACCAGUGGCGAAGGCGACUGACUGGACAAGUAUUGACGCUGAGGUACGAAAGCGUGGGGAGCAAA